rnacentral:rRNA from 1 species
UACGUAGGGUGCAAGCGUUGUCCGGAAUUACUGGGCGUAAAGUGUGCGCAGGCGGCCGCGCAAGUCGAGUGUGAAAGCCCCGAGCUUAACUUGGGAAUUGCGCUCGAAACUACGUGGCUGGAGUGUGGCAGAGGAAGGUGGAAUUCCACGUGUAGCGGUGAAAUGCGCAGAUAUCAGGAAGAACACCCGUGGCGAAGGCGGCUCUCUGGGACGGUACUGACGCUGAGACGCGAAAGCGUGGGGAGCGAACAGG